rnacentral:misc_RNA from 1 species
GAAAUGCGAUAAGUAAUGUGAAUUGCAGAAUUCAGUGAAUCAUCGAAUCUUUGAACGCACAUGGCGCCCGCCAGUAUUCUGGCGGGCAUGCCUGUUCGAGCGUCAUUACAACCCUCAGGCCCCCGGGCCUGGCGUUGGGGAUCGGCGGAAGCCCCCUGCGGGCACAACGCCGUCCCCCAAAUACAGUGGCGGUCCCGCCGCAGCUUCCAUUGCGUAGUAGCUAACACCUCGCAACUGGAGAGCGGCGCGGCCACGCCGUAAAACACCCAACUUCUGAAUGUUGACCUCGAAUCAGGUAGGAAUACCCGCUGAACUUAAGC